CCUCUUGUAGCUUAUCGGUUAGAACAUUGGUGCGUAAAGCCAAAGGUCCCGGGUUCGAUUCCCGGCAAGAGUG
rnacentral:tRNA from 1 species